CCUACGGGGGGCUGCAGUAGGGAAUCUUCCACAAUGGGCGAAAGCCUGAUGGAGCAACGCCGCGUGGGUGAAGAAGGUCUUCGGAUCGUAAAACCCUGUUGUUAGAGAAGAAAGUGCGUGAGAGUAACUGUUCCCGUUUCGACGGUAUCUAACCAGAAAGCCACGGCUAACUACGUGCCAGCAGCCGCGGUAAUACGUAGGUGGCAAGCGUUAUCCGGAUUUAUUGGGGGUAAAGGGAACGCAGGCGGUCUUUUAAGUCUGAGGUGAAAGGCUUCGGCUUAACCGGAGUAGUGCAUUGGAAACUGGGAGACUGGAGUGCAGAAGAGGAGAGUGGAACUCCAUGUGUAGCGGUGAAAUGCGUAGAUAUAGGGAAGAACACCAGUGGCGAAAG
rnacentral:rRNA from 1 species